UUAAGCGACUAAGCGUACACGGUGGAUGCCCUGGCAGUCAGAGGCGAUGAAGGACGUGCUAAUCUGCGAUAAGCGUCGGUGAGGUGAUAUGAACCGUUAUAACCGGCGAUUUCCGAAUGGGGAAACCCAGUGUGUUUCGACACACUAUCAUUAACUGAAUCCAUAGGUUAAUGAGGCGAACCGGGGGAACUGAAACAUCUAAGUACCCCGAGGAAAAGAAAUCAACCGAGAUUCCCCAGUAGCGGCGAGCGAACGGGGAGGAGCCCAGAGCCUGAAUCAGUGUGUGUGUUAGUGGAAGCGUCUGGAAAGGCGCGCGAUACAGGGUGACAGCCCCGUACACAAAAAUGCACAUAUUGUGAGCUCGAUGAGUAGGGCGGGACACGUGGUAUCCUGUCUGAAUAUGGGGGGACCAUCCUCCAAGGCUAAAUACUCCUGACUGACCGAUAGUGAACCAGUACCGUGAGGGAAAGGCGAAAAGAACCCCGGCGAGGGGAGUGAAAAAGAACCUGAAACCGUGUACGUACAAGCAGUGGGAGCCUCUUAAUGGGGUGACUGCGUACCUUUUGUAUAAUGGGUCAGCGACUUAUAUUCUGUAGCAAGGUUAACCGAAUAGGGGAGCCGAAGGGAAACCGAGUCUUAACUGGGCGUUAAGUUGCAGGGUAUAGACCCGAAACCCGGUGAUCUAGCCAUGGGCAGGUUGAAGGUUGGGUAACACUAACUGGAGGACCGAACCGACUAAUGUUGAAAAAUUAGCGGAUGACUUGUGGCUGGGGGUGAAAGGCCAAUCAAACCGGGAGAUAGCUGGUUCUCCCCGAAAGCUAUUUAGGUAGCGCCUCGUGAAUUCAUCUCCGGGGGUAGAGCACUGUUUCGGCAAGGGGGUCAUCCCGACUUACCAACCCGAUGCAAACUGCGAAUACCGGAGAAUGUUAUCACGGGAGACACACGGCGGGUGCUAACGUCCGUCGUGAAGAGGGAAACAACCCAGACCGCCAGCUAAGGUCCCAAAGUCAUGGUUAAGUGGGAAACGAUGUGGGAAGGCCCAGACAGCCAGGAUGUUGGCUUAGAAGCAGCCAUCAUUUAAAGAAAGCGUAAUAGCUCACUGGUCGAGUCGGCCUGCGCGGAAGAUGUAACGGGGCUAAACCAUGCACCGAAGCUGCGGCAGCGACACUAUGUGUUGUUGGGUAGGGGAGCGUUCUGUAAGCCUGUGAAGGUGUACUGUGAGGUAUGCUGGAGGUAUCAGAAGUGCGAAUGCUGACAUAAGUAACGAUAAAGCGGGUGAAAAGCCCGCUCGCCGGAAGACCAAGGGUUCCUGUCCAACGUUAAUCGGGGCAGGGUGAGUCGACCCCUAAGGCGAGGCCGAAAGGCGUAGUCGAUGGGAAACAGGUUAAUAUUCCUGUACUUGGUGUUACUGCGAAGGGGGGACGGAGAAGGCUAUGUUGGCCGGGCGACGGUUGUCCCGGUUUAAGCGUGUAGGCUGGUUUUCCAGGCAAAUCCGGAAAAUCAAGGCUGAGGCGUGAUGACGAGGCACUACGGUGCUGAAGCGACAAAUGCCCUGCUUCCAGGAAAAGCCUCUAAGCAUCAGGUAACAUCAAAUCGUACCCCAAACCGACACAGGUGGUCAGGUAGAGAAUACCAAGGCGCUUGAGAGAACUCGGGUGAAGGAACUAGGCAAAAUGGUGCCGUAACUUCGGGAGAAGGCACGCUGAUAUGUAGGUGAAGCGACUUGCUCGUGGAGCUGAAAUCAGUCGAAGAUACCAGCUGGCUGCAACUGUUUAUUAAAAACACAGCACUGUGCAAACACGAAAGUGGACGUAUACGGUGUGACGCCUGCCCGGUGCCGGAAGGUUAAUUGAUGGGGUUAGCGGUAACGCGAAGCUCUUGAUCGAAGCCCCGGUAAACGGCGGCCGUAACUAUAACGGUCCUAAGGUAGCGAAAUUCCUUGUCGGGUAAGUUCCGACCUGCACGAAUGGCGUAAUGAUGGCCAGGCUGUCUCCACCCGAGACUCAGUGAAAUUGAACUCGCUGUGAAGAUGCAGUGUACCCGCGGCAAGACGGAAAGACCCCGUGAACCUUUACUAUAGCUUGACACUGAACAUUGAGCCUUGAUGUGUAGGAUAGGUGGGAGGCUUUGAAGUGUGGACGCCAGUCUGCAUGGAGCCGACCUUGAAAUACCACCCUUUAAUGUUUGAUGUUCUAACGUGGGCCCCUUACCGGGGUUGCGGACAGUGUCUGGUGGGUAGUUUGACUGGGGCGGUCUCCUCCUAAAGAGUAACGGAGGAGCACGAAGGUUGGCUAAUCCUGGUCGGACAUCAGGAGGUUAGUGCAAUGGCAUAAGCCAGCUUGACUGCGAGCGUGACGGCGCGAGCAGGUGCGAAAGCAGGUCAUAGUGAUCCGGUGGUUCUGAAUGGAAGGGCCAUCGCUCAACGGAUAAAAGGUACUCCGGGGAUAACAGGCUGAUACCGCCCAAGAGUUCAUAUCGACGGCGGUGUUUGGCACCUCGAUGUCGGCUCAUCACAUCCUGGGGCUGAAGUAGGUCCCAAGGGUAUGGCUGUUCGCCAUUUAAAGUGGUACGCGAGCUGGGUUUAGAACGUCGUGAGACAGUUCGGUCCCUAUCUGCCGUGGGCGCUGGAGAACUGAGGGGGGCUGCUCCUAGUACGAGAGGACCGGAGUGGACGCAUCACUGGUGUUCGGGUUGUCAUGCCAAUGGCACUGCCCGGUAGCUAAAUGCGGAAGAGAUAAGUGCUGAAAGCAUCUAAGCACGAAACUUGCCCCGAGAUGAGUUCUCCCUGACUCCUUGAGAGUCCUGAAGGAACGUUGAAGACGACGACGUUGAUAGGCCGGGUGUGUAAGCGCAGCGAUGCGUUGAGCUAACCGGUACUAAUGAACCGUGAGGCUUAACCUU
rnacentral:rRNA from 1 species